rnacentral:rRNA from 1 species
UACGAAGGGGGCGAGCGUUGUUCGGAUUUACUGGGCGUAAAGGGCGCGUAGGCGGCGCGAGAAGUCGAGUGUGAAAGCCCCGGGCUCAACCUGGGAAUGGCGCUCGAUACUCUUGUGCUUGAGUUCGGGAGAGGAGCGUGGAAUUCCCAGUGUAGAGGUGAAAUUCGUAGAUAUUGGGAAGAACACCGGUGGCGAAGGCGGCGCUCUGGACCGAGACUGACGCUGAGGCGCGAAAGCCAGGGGAGCAAACGGG